GCCGCCCCCGCCUCUCGGGGCGGGGCCUGCGCGCUCGCCGCCCAUUGGCCAGGCCGCGGCGCGUGACGACGGAGCCAUGGCGGGGGCCGGCGCGGCCUCAGCGCGCCGCGUGACGGGCGUGCUCGGCGGGCGAGGGGCGCGCGCGGCGGCGGCGUUGGCGUGACCGCGACGCCUGGCAUGGGGCCCGAACGCAGCGCGAGGGCAGCGGAGCGAGCCCCAAGGAGGCCGCGUCUGCCCAGCCUCGUGGGCUGUGCGCAGGGGCUGAGGCAGUGAUCCCUCGAGCACAGCUACGCAGUUGAAUGAAGUCAUUCUGCAGCCGAAAUCCAGUCUGGAGACUAUCAGCUUCUGGCCUACAACAUACUUGUGUUUAGACUUCAACUGCUGUUCAGUUUUCCUGCAGCUGGCAGCUCCUAUUGUUGAUGAAGGCUCUGUGAAAUCGUUAAGGAAAAGCUGAUGAAUGUGUUCGUAUUUGCUAAAAUAGAUUAACAGAGAGGAUAUGCAAAGUCAUAAACACUCUUAUCUGAAUUCUGUGCCUUUGAUUCAUCUUGAAUUCCAAAGUGAUUGAGCAGAGUUGGGCUGUCUUCCGUGCGUGCUGUGUAAAUCUUGUCCCCCUCUGAACCACAGGCAGGAUACUGCAAUCCCAAAGGCCAGAAUUAUUUUGCUAAUACUUGAAUUGCCCAUUGGAAAAUCACAUCAGAUUCUCCUUCUGAAAUGGACUUUAAAACAGGAUGGCUGCUUUUCCAGUGUCUCGGAUAAUAAGAAUUGGCGCUAAAGAUCCAACAUUUGAAGGAAUUCAGUCUGUGCAGAACCUGAGGUGCCAUCAAUAGCAGUUUCCUAUGCUCCUGUUCAGUGAGUGGUUCUUUGCAGCCAUCCUACAUGAGCAGAUAGAAUGUGUCUAGCUUGUUCUGUUACUUUGUCUCUUGCACAGAUGUGGUAUAAAACGAAAUAUCAUAGGCGAUAGAAUCACUCUGGAGAGGCUCUUGUUGCGGUGGAGGACAACGGAGUUUGCUAUAGUGCAUAUAACCAUCAUGAUAAGUGACUUACAGAAUGGUGAACUUGUCCAGCCUGUAUGUUUAUGGUGCCUGAGGCAACCCUUGCUGCUCUUCUUUAACCUGUGGCUGAGUUUCUUACAUAGAGCUGGGUUUGGACAUCUUGAUCUAUAUAGUAUGCAACUCCCUCAAUAAAGCAUAAGGUAUGCUUCUUUAAAUAGAGCCUGCCUGUCGUACUUGCUCGUAGAAGGGAGCUGCAUUAUUCAUCAAAUCAUUCUGCCUUUUCCAGAGCAUGACUUGAAUCUCAGCAUCUGUUCAAAUACAAGCCAUGAAGUCAAGAAUUUAGGAAGAGCAAGUGUUUUUCCCCUUAGUUCUUUAUAGCAAGGAAUUCUACCAUAUGUGGCCUGAGGUAGACCUGUUCAUUUUAUUCAUAGGUGUGUUUACCCAGCUGUUCCAUCAUUCACAUCAGGUAGCAGAGCAAUUUGUUGACUAAUUCAAAUGAAAGAUGGUGUGAAACCUCCCUUCGUGGCAGCAUUGUCUUUUUCUCCUGUGUUGAGAGAUCUAGUCUCUGUGUGUCUUUUCCCUGGAACAGUCUGACUUAGUGAGCAGUCAGUGAACCAGUCCAUAUGAGACAUGCUGACCAAAAUAUUCAAACAUGAGUACCUCACUAUGUGUCAAAGCACUCAAAGAAAAAUCCAAAGCCCUUUUCCAUAGUGCCAAAUGUCAGCCUCUUGCUUAUCUCCUGGAAAAGUCACACCACUGAUUUAAAUGUGUGAUUUUGUUCACCUAGUUUGGAAAAUACCAGUUUAGGUAUUAUUGUCAGUGAGACACUGGCUAUCAGAAAUGAGUUUGUAAAUAGAGAUAGUUGGCAGAAGAAUGGAAAGGGGAGGAAUAGACAAGAGCAGGAGACAUCCUGAAGUGAGAAAUAGGAAGCAUUCAGCAGAACUGUCAGACCGUGAGGACCCUCCAGUACAAUACCUGUCAGGCUCCCCCAUCCUGAGUUUGAGGCUUCCCUCUUUCCAAGUUGUGAUCACUGGAAAUACUCAGUGGCCUUUACCAAAAUGAAAAGGUACAUGAGCUUCUUAACAAAGCGACUAAUUAGUGGAAUUUCUUUUGUUCAUGAGUAAAUAAAGGUAUUUUUCGCUAUCUCA